GCAUCCGUAGCUUAGUUGGAUAGAGCACUCGGCUACGAACCGAGAGGUUGGAGGUUCGAAUCCUUCCGGAUGCA
rnacentral:tRNA from 1 species